GCUUUUGCUAUUUUUGGGCAGUAACGUACAACGUUACUCUACUUCUUUUUCUGGCCUAUAAAUAUGUCUGUUGCGUACCCAUUUGUUCCCUUUUUAUUUUCACAUUAACCCUAGCCGACCUCUGGACAUAUUUUACACUCUGAACAUUCUUUUCUUCAUCUCUUCCAUCGCUUUCGAAUCACGCGUCUUAGUGAGGUUGUGUUCUUCAUCAUUCUGCUUCCUUCCGGGGCUGCGGGGUAUUGUGAUCCGUUUUUCUUCGUUUGACCCGUCGACUGCUCGUGCUUCGGAGUCUACGCAAGGUUAGCUGUUUGCCAAGAUCACGUGGAUAAGCAAGCAGUGAGUUUGUAGUGCUAUUUACCGCUUUAUUAAGUACCGCAUUUUAUUUUAGUAUUAUAAAUGUUUUUGAACUGUUUUAAGCGAUUAUGGAUCUGGAUUGAAACGAGCUACUCGAUAGGCUUGUAUCGAGACUGUGUGCACCAGUAUAUACUCUGGGAUCGGCAGACUAUGGUCUUGCUUACGCUGGUAAUUUGACGAGGAUUUGUUCCCGUCCACUCUGGGUUUAUUUUUCAGUAUGCUAUGUCAUACUUACGCUGGGAUCAUUUCAAUACUGUUAUUCCGUAAUCAUACUAUAUUAGUAUAAA